rnacentral:rRNA from 1 species
CCUACGGGAGGCAGCAGUAGGGAAUAUUGGUCAAUGGAUGCAAGUCUGAACCAGCCAUGCCGCGUGCAGGAAGAAGGCCUUCUGGGUUGUAAACUGCUUUUGCCAGGGGAUAAAAUGGGCGUGCGCGCUUAAUUGAAGGUACCUGGUGAAUAAGCCACGGCUAACUACGUGCCAGCAGCCGCGGUAAUACGUAGGUGGCAAGCGUUGUCCGGAUUUAUUGGGUUUAAAGGGUGCGUAGGUGGUCCUAUAAGUCAGUGCUGAAAUAUCCCGGCUUAACCGGGAGGGUGGCAUUGAUACUGCAGGACUUGAGUAAAGUUGAGGUAGGCGGAAUUGACGGUGUAGCGGUGAAAUGCUUAGAUAUCGUCAAGAACACCUAUUGCGAAGGCAGCUUACUAAGCUUUAACUGACACUGAGGCACGAAAGUGUGGGGAUCAAACAGG